rnacentral:tRNA from 1 species
AUGUGUUUUCCCUGUCUGCGGAUCACCUCACUUAAUCGAAGAUCUUCAGCUUCUUCAUAAGCUCCCACACGAAUUGCUUGAUUCACUGGUUAGACGAUUGGGUCUGUAGCUCAGUUGGUUAGAGCGCACCCCUGAUAAGGGUGAGGUCGGCAGUUCGAAUCUGCCCAGACCCACCAAUUGUUGGUGUGCUGCGUGAUCCGAUACGGGGCCAUAGCUCAGCUGGGAGAGCGCCUGCUUUGCACGCAGGAGGUCAGGAGUUCGAUCCUCCUUGGCUCCACCAUCUAAAACAAUCGUCGAAAGCUCAGAAAUGAAUGUUCGUGAAUGAACAUUGAUUUCUGGUCUUUGCACCAGAACUGUUCUUUAAAAAUUCGGGUAUGUGAUAGAAGUAAGACUGAAUGAUCUCUUUCACUGGUGAUCAUUCAAGUCAAGGUAAAAUUUGCGAGUUCAAGCGCGAAUUUUACGGCGAAUGUCGUCUUCACAGUAUAACCAGAUUGCUUGGGGUUAUAUAUGGUCAA